GGUAUCUUGGCCGAGGGGUUAGGCAGCGGUCUGCAAAACCGCGUACGGCGGUUCAAAUCCGCCAGAUACCU
rnacentral:tRNA from 1 species